rnacentral:rRNA from 1 species
AUUGAACGCUGGCGGCAUGCCUUACACAUGCAAGUCGAACGGCAGCACGGGAGCUUGCUCCUGGUGGCGAGUGGCGAACGGGUGAGUAAUACAUCGGAACGUACCCUGAAGUGGGGGAUAACGUAGCGAAAGUUACGCUAAUACCGCAUAUUCUGUGAGCAGGAAAGAGGGGGAUCGCAAGACCUCUUGCUUUAGGAGCGGCCGAUGUCGGAUUAGCUAGUUGGUGAGGUAAAGGCUCACCAAGGCGACGAUCCGUAGCGGGUCUGAGAGGAUGAUCCGCCACACUGGGACUGAGACACGGCCCAGACUCCUACGGGAGGCAGCAGUGGGGAAUUUUGGACAAUGGGCGCAAGCCUGAUCCAGCCAUGCCGCGUGAGUGAAGAAGGCCUUCGGUUGUAAAGCUCUUCGGUUGGGAAGGAAAGUUAGCUCGGUUAAUACCUGGAGUAGA